CCUGCUCAGGACGAACGCUGGCGGCGUGCUUAACACAUGCAAGUCGAACGCUGAAGCUUGGGUGCUUGCAUCUGGGUGGAUGAGUGGCGAACGGGUGAGUAAUACGUGAGUAACCUGCCCUUGACUCUGGGAUAAGCCUGGGAAACUGGGUCUAAUACUGGAUACUACAUUCUCUCGCAUGGGGGUGUGUGGAAAGGGUUUUACUGGUUUUGGAUGGGCUCACGGCCUAUCAGCUUGUUGGUGGGGUAAUGGCCUACCAAGGCGACGACGGGUAGCCGGCCUGAGAGGGUGACCGGCCACACUGGGACUGAGACACGGCCCAGACUCCUACUGGAGGCAGCAGUGGGGAAUAUUGCACAAUGGGCGAAAGCCUGAUGCAGCGACGCCGCGUGAGGGAUGACGGCCUUCGGGUUGUAAACCUCUUUCAGCACGGAAGAAGCGAAAGUGACGGUACGUGCAGAAGAAGCGCCGGCUAAAUACGUGCCAGCAGCCGCGGUAAUACGUAGGGCGCCAGCGUUGUCCGGAAUUAUUGGGCGUAAAGAGCUCGUGGGCGGUUUGUCGCGUUUGCUGUGAAAGCCCGGGGCUUAACCCCGUGGUGUGCAGUGGGUACGGGCAGACUAGAGUGCAGUAGGGGAGACUGGAAUUCCUGGUGUAGCGGUGAAAUGCGCAGAUAUCAGGAGGAACACCGAUGGCGAAGGCAGGUCUCUGGGCUGUACUACGCUAGGAG
rnacentral:rRNA from 1 species